CCUACGGGCGGCAGCAGUGGGGAAUUUUGCGCAAUGGGGGCAACCCUGACGCAGCAACGCCGCGUGAGUGAUGAAGGCCUUCGGGUCGUAAAGCUCUGUCAGAGGGGAAGAAAUGCAGGUGGUGAACAACCAUUCUGUUUGACGGUACCCUCAAAGGAAGCACCGGCUAACUCCGUGCCAGCAGCCGCGGUAAUACGGAGGGUGCGAGCGUUGUUCGGAAUUAUUGGGCGUAAAGCGCGUGUAGGCGGUUUGUUAAGACGGAUGUAAAAGCCCCGGGCUCAACCUGGGAAGUGCAUUGGAGACUGGCAGACUAGAGUGCGGGAGAGGGGAGUGGAAUUCCCGGUGUAGGAGUGAAAUCCGUAGAUAUCGGGAGGAACACCGAUGGCGAAGGCGGCCCCCUGGACUGAUACUGACGCUGAGGCGCGAAAGCGUGGGGAGCAAACGGGAUUAGAUACCCUGGUAGU
rnacentral:rRNA from 1 species